AGAGUUUGAUCCUGGCUCAGGAUGAACGCUAGCUACAGGCUUAACACAUGCAAGUCGAGGGGAAACGACAUCGAGAGCUUGCUUUUGAUGGGCGUCGACCGGCGUACGGGUGAGUAACGCGUAUCCAACCUGCCCACCACUUGGGGAUAACCUUGCGAAAGUAAGACUAAUACCCAAUGAUAUCUCUAGAAGACAUCUGAAAGAGAUUAAAGAUUUAUCGGUGAUGGAUCCCGGGGAUGCGUCUGAUUAGCUUGUUGGCGGGGUAACGGCCCACCAAGGCAACGAUCAGUAGGGGUUCUGAGAGGAAGGUCCCCCACAUUGGAACUGAGACACGGUCCAAACUCCUACGGGAGGCAGCA
rnacentral:rRNA from 1 species